rnacentral:piRNA from 1 species
UGCUGCUAGGUGACCAGAAGUUGC